rnacentral:rRNA from 1 species
AGUCUUAACCGGGCGUUAAGUUGCAGGGUAUAGACCCGAAACCCGGUGAUCUAGCCAUGGGCAGGUUGAAGGUUGGGUAACACUAACUGGAGGACCGAACCGACUAAUGUUGAAAAAUUAGCGGAUGACCUGUGGCUGGGGGUGAAAGGCCAAUCAAACCGGGAGAUAGCUGGUUCUCCCCGAAAGCUAUUUAGGUAGCGCCUCGUGAAUUCAUCUCCGGGGGUAGAGCACUGUUUCGGCUAGGGGGCCAUCCCGGCUUACCAACCCGAUGCAAACUGCGAAUACCGGAGAAUGUUAUCACGGGAGACACACGGCGGGUGCUAACGUCCGUCGUGAAGAGGGAAACAACCCAGACCGCCAGCUAAGGUCCCAAAGUCAUGGUUAAGUGGGAAACGAUGUGGGAAGGCCCAGACAGCCAGGAUGUUGGCUUAGAAGCAGCCAUCAUUUAAAGAAAGCGUAAUAGCUCACUGGUCGAGUCGGCCUGCGCGGAAGAUGUAACGGGGCUAAACCAUGCACCGAAGCUGCGGCAGCGACGCUUAUGCGUUGUUGGGUAGGGGAGCGUUCUGUAAGCCUGUGAAGGUGGCCUGUGAGGG